rnacentral:rRNA from 1 species
AAUCUGCCUUCAGGACGGGAACAACAACUGGAAACGGUCGCUAAAGCCCGAUGUGCCUUUCGGGGUGAAAUACUUGUAGCCUGAAGAUGAGCUCGCGUCCGAUUAGCUAGUUGGUGGAGUAAUGGUUUACCAAGGCGACGAUCGGUAACUGGUCUGAGAGGAUGACCAGUCACACUGGGACUGAGACACGGCCCAGACUCCUACGGGAGGCAGCAGUGGGGAAUUUUCCGCAAUGGGCGAAAGCCUGACGGAGCAAUACCGCGUGAGGGAGGAAGGCUCUUGGGUCGUAAACCUCUUUUAUCAGGGAAGAAACAAAUGACGGUACCUGAUGAAUCAGCAUCGGCUAACUCCGUGCCAGCAGCCGCGGUAAUACGGAGGAUGCAAGCGUUAUCCGGAAUUAUUGGGCGUAAAGCGUCCGCAGGUGGUUUUGAAAGUUUGCUGUCAAAGCGCGGAGCUUAACUUCGUACCGGCAGUGAAAACUCCAAGACUAGAGUUUGGUAGGGGUCACGGGAAUUCCCAGUGUAGCGGUGAAAUGCGUAGAGAUUGGGAAGAACACCAGCGGCGAAAGCGCGUGACUGGGCCUGAACUGACACUCAUGGACGAAGGCUAGGGGAGCGAAAGGGAUUAGAUACCCCUGUAGUCCUAGCCGUAAACGAUGACA